GGCUGCUCUCAGUUCCCGUCUCAGUCCCAAGCCUCUCUCUUCCUCAGGUUGGAGGCACAUUAAGACCUUCUGUCCCCAGACUGGGAUGGAAUGUGGUGAGAAGGCUUCCAGGCAGCAGUAUGGGCUGGAAGGAAGGAGGAUUUUUCUGUUACCCCAGUCAGUUGAAGCUCCCUCUAUCUUGAAUUUCACCCUUUAUCUAAUCUGACAAGGACAAAUUCAUUUUUGCCAAAGCCUUGAUUGUGGCAGUGGCUGCUAAUUCAUAGAAAUAAAAAAAACAAACAAAAAAGGCAGUGUGUGGGGGAGGUUGGGCGGGGGCUUGGUUGGGGGAAAAGGAUCAGCAGAGAUUUUUGUGCAGGAAAAAAAUUUUCUCUACAGUCUGAGAAUGAAAAAAGAUGGAGUUGCAAACAAAUAGGCAGGUAGUCAUACUUACCAGAGGGACUUGAAACAACUUAAAUGCACAAAAUAGCUCCUCUGAUGAUAUAUGCGAUUGAAUUGUACUGCUUAUAGGUUUUAAAAAAUCCAUUAGUUAGUCCCAAAAAUGUUAAUGAUAAAUAUUCUUUUAGUAUCUUAUUGAUCUGAGUCUUAAAACACACUUGAUAAAGAGUGGGAAUUUUCAAAAUCUUUAAAAUUUAAAACUUUAAGUUGUUAAGUUUAGAAAAAUACUUCAGGGGCGCCUGGGUGGCUCAGUCAGUUGAGUGUCCAGCUCUUGAUUUCAGCUCAGGUCAUGAUCUCACGGUUCGUGGGAUCGAGCCCCACACUGGGCUCUGUGCUGACAGCACAGAGGCCGCUUGCGAUUCUCUCUCUUCCUCUCUCUGUGCCUCCCCCUAUCUGCACACAUGCUCGCUCACUCUCUCUCAAAAUAAACAUUAAAAAGUACUUUAAUAUGUAAUUUUGAAAAGUCAGCUUCCUUUUUUGUCAAAGGAGUAUAUAAUUUAUCCCUAGUUAUGAUACCAUUUUUCUAUAAUAUUAGGAAGACUCUAGAGCUACCUGGUCAUUGUUCCUAGUAGGAAAAGUGAAGCCUACCUAGCAUUAUAUGACCUUUCUAGGAUUGCUUGGGUAGCUUGAGCCUCAGGUUCUUAACUGCUAUAUUUUUAUUGUUGGAUCUUCAUUUGGUCUGAGAAAUUAAGUCUUUUAUCACCUUAUUCUUUUUUUUAUUAAAGUAAUUGUUGUUCCUGAACUUUGUGGACUCUUAUGUGGUUUAAAAAAAAAAAAAAAACACUUAUAAAAGCCACAGCUGAGUAUAAGGUACUUUUAUGGCAUGCACUGUGGGGUAUUGACCGUGAGUAUACCCCUGUGGUGGGUGGUGUUUUCCACAGGCUCACUGCCUCUCCCUACUAGAACAUUACCUCUGUUCCUGUCCUAAGUGUCUGCUUCUCAACCUGUUUCCCUGUGUCCCACUUGCUCCUAAACUUCCUGUCUUUGGUUCUAGUCCCGUCACCACCGACUUUGUAGUCUUAAGUGAGACCCUUGGUAUCCUGCUUACCUUUUCUUUCCCGUGAUACCUGGGCAUCUCCCCCUGGCUAGUGAGCCCCCAGAGCCUACACAAUGCAGAUUCAUUGACCCCAUGCUCUCUUCCCCCACCCCCGGCCCCUCCCCGUCUCUGUUGCCAGUGCCUGGUGCUGACAUUUGCAGUAAUUCUUGGAUGGAUGGAUGAGGCCUUAACAGUUGUUCUUUUACUCCAGGCCAUAGACUCUUCAUAUCUCUUAGAUGCCCCUGAAGCGCUAAAAUACUUUCAAGAUAAUGAGAGGUGUGCUCUUCUUCAUACUGCUGGGUCUGCCCAGUGCUUCACUUCCAUCAUGCAUACGAUAAGGCCCCAUAUUCAGAGAAUGGCUUGUGAAGUCUUUCACAGACUGGCCCCUAUACCUUUCCAGCUUCCUUUGGUCUACCAGCACCUCUUUUCUCCUCCUUGCAAAGUGAGUCAAUUGGGAAUUGUUAAGGGAUUAGUACUUUUAAGAUCUUGCUCUUUAUGUAUGUGAAAGUAAGGCCUGAGGGUUGGUCCUGGUAUUAGAAUUCAGGGGCCAGCUGUAUCAGAUAUCCCUGUACUCUGUGCACAGAGACAGCCCCGAUGAAUCCAGGGGCGUUCUCCUCCCACUGAUGAGGAUUAAGUCUAAAGCUUUAAACUGGAUGAUCCAUUAAUUUAAUGCUUUUCCUUGAUACAAGAUUCUACAGUUUUCAAUAAAAAAAUUUUCGGCACCCACGCAGGCUAAAGGAUGCGUGCAAGCCAGAAAUAGUUUAUAAAAUGAGUGUUCCUUUCUGGUAUUCCUUGUAAAAAUAACCUUGUAACCAUCCUAGGAAAAGGGGACCCCCUGCUAAAAUAAGGUAGAACCCCCCGCUGAAAGUCUCUUGUGGUUCAGUCUUUACACACUGUCUUUGUGUUUGCUUCUUACCAUUUCGCCAUCGCCUUGUCUUCUAGUGGGGUGUGGAGAGACCAGCACUGCUUCUACCAGGAAAGAGCUGUGCUUGACCUUUCCACAUGGAGUGUUCUCCUGAGGCACCAUUUCUGCGUUUUUGGAGGAUGCUUUUUUUGAACCAUCCAUUCUCACAUCGCUCACAGCUGGCUUCAGGCUGAAGCAGUUUCCAGCAGCAUCUGUUCACUAUGGCAGCUCUGAAGCUAGGUGGGCAUUUUAAUGGCCAUAAAACAGAAUUACUGUGUGAAAGACCUUUCAGCAAUUGAGCUAAAGGCUUGGAAGCAGUGGAGACAUUUUCACUUAUGAAAAUUGGCACUAAAGGAACAUGUGGUGGAGAUACCUUUCCUCGAAAUGCCACCACUUUCUAUGUUAAAUAAUAGAGACCACCCAUCAGAGGAAACUUUGCCACCUUAGCUAGUUUUAGUUUAUGUUAAACCAUUUUUCAGAUUUUAGAGUUGUUCCGUAGAGAUCUUUUGGUUAUUUAAAUAUGAAUCAGACCCAAAGCCAUCUACAGAUUCAAUGCACUACCUAUCAAAAUUCCAAUGGCAUUUUCACAGAACUAGAAGAAACAAUCCUAAAAUUCAUAGGGAGCCACAAAACCCCCAAUAACCAAGGCAGUCUUGAGGAGGAAGAACAAAGCUGGAGGCAUCAUGCUUCCUGGUUUCAAACUGUAUUCUAAAGCUGUAAUAAUCAAAAUGGAAUGGUAUUGGCAUAAAAACAGAUACCUAGACCAGUGGAACAGAAUAGAGAGCCCAGGAAUAAACCCAAAAAUAUAUUGCCAAGUUAUGACAAAGGAGCCAAGAGUAGUCCAUAGGAAAAGAUGGUCUCUUCAGUAAAUGGUGUUAGAAAAGUUGGACAGCCAUGUGCAAAAGAAUGGAACUGGACUGCCAUCUUAAGCCAUACACAGAAAUCAAAGUGGAUUGAAGAAGGGAAGACCUGAAAACGUAAAACUCCUAGAAGGGAACAAGGGGUAAGUUUCUUGACGUGGGUCUAUUUGACACCAAAAGCCAAGGCAACAAAAGCAAAAUAAGUGGGCUUACAUCAGACGAAAAAGCCUCUGUAUAACAGAGGGAACCACCAACAAAAUGAAAAGGCAACCUACAAAGUGGGAGAGAAUAUUUGCAAAUUAUUUCUGAUAAGGAGUCUUAAUACCCAAAAUACAUAAAGAACUGUUACAACUCAAUAGCAAAAAACCAGCUGAUAUUUUAAAAUGGGUAGAGGAACUGCAUAGACACUCUUCCAAAGAAGACAUCCAAAUGGCCAACAGGUAAAUGACAAGAUGCUGAACGUCAGUCAUCAUCAAGGAAAUGCAGAUCAAAACCACAAUGAGAUACCACCUUACACCUGUUAAAAUGCUUGUUCUCCAAAAGAUACACACUUGCAAAGAUGUGGAGAAAAGGGAAUUCUUAUCCACUGUUGGUUGAAAUGUAAAUUGGUAUAGCCACUAUGGAAAGCGAUAUGGAAAACUAAAAAUAGAGCUACCGUAUGACCUAGCACUUCUGGAUAUAUAUGCAAAGGAAAUGAAAACAGGGUCUCAAAGAGAUAGCUGCACUCCCAGGUUCGUUGCAGUUCUGUUCACAGUAGCCAAGAUAAUGGCAAGAACCUAAGUAUCUGUCAGUGAAUGAGUCAAUAAAGAUAUGGGGUGUGUGUGUGUGUGUGUGUGUGUGUGUACACAUACAUACACGCAAAUGUUAUUCAGGUACAAGAAGGGACAUCCUGCCAUUUAUGAAAAUACAGAUGGGCCUUGAGGACAUUUAUGCUAAGUGAAAUAAGGCUAAAAGACAACCAGUAUAGGUUUAACUUACAUGGACGAUCUUAAAAGGCUGAAUUCAGAAACCGAGACUUAGCACGGUAGUUACCAAGCUGGCGCGUGAGAAAAAUGGGAGAUGCUGGUCAAAGGUACAAACGUCUGGUUCUAAGCUCUGGGGAUCUAGUGUGCAGCAUAGUGAUUAUAGCCAAUAAUACCGUAUUAUAGAAAAACUGUAUCAUAUACUUGAACUUUGCUGAGGGAGUAAAUGUUAUGUAUUCUCACCCCAGAAGAGUAAUGGUAAUUACAUGGCAUGAUGGAGGUGUUAGCUAAAGCUGUGGUAAUGAUCCUCUUGCAGUAUACGUGUGUCAAGUCAACAUGUUGCACACCUUAUUCUUACAUCACGUUACGUCAGUGAUACCUCUGUAAAGCUGGGGAGGAAUAGGAAUCACACGUCAAAAAGCUUAACCUGUGUAGCAAGCAGUUUUGAACACCAUUCUUAGAGGCGGAGGACUGACGCGGGCUGCACUUUGCACGUGUAGUUGUCAAGCAGGAUGUGACUGGAGCCUCCAGCGGGAGAGCACCAUUUCCGUGAGCACAUUCCCAGUUGCCAAAAUCGAUGUUUUGACUCCAGAAGGUCAAUUUAGGAUUACUAGGGUAGGGGUGGGAGGAGAGUCUGAUAGAAUUAGCCAUUUAUUCAUCUUAAUAGGGAAAUAAAAUAGGAUAUCAAAAUGCUUAAAAUAUUAGCUGUGUGUGUUUUUUUUAAUGCAAUUUACCAGAUUUGGUUCUAUAAAUAAAAAUGAUGCCAAGUGAACUGAAAAGCUAGAAAGAAGGAAGAUAUUUCUUAGGAGUAAUUUCCCUCCUCGAAAUAACUAGACCUCUUUCCUUCCAAAGCAUUUUGGGGGGGAGGUACAAAUUGUAGACCCUGAAAUGAACAUGUUUGGCAUUGAUUUCUGAAGAAAGUUCUUUUGGCCCACGUUUAAGAAGGAAUUGGAGCCAUGGAAAACUUUGUAGUCCUUGAUAUUAUACUUCUGGUGAUGAGACCAUGAUUAUGUCACUGUCCCUGGGUUGAUGCGCUUUGCUUUGGAAAAAUGUGUGAUCCUCUACUUCAAACAAACUAUGGAUUCCUUGCAGAGGUGGCUGUAAGGAAACGGUCUCCAUGCCCUUGUGUCUCCACAUCCCUUCCUCUCACCAGACCUGUCUGGUGCACUGCAUGAAGCACGUACACUGCUGCUCAUGGGAAAAGGGACCAAUAGAAGCAUGUUUUUAAAAUCUGUGUUUUCAGAUUUAAAAAGUAUUUUUCAUUAUUAUUAUUUUCUUUGUAAUUAUGUUAGAGGGCAAGCAGGGGAGAAGGGCAGAGGGAGGGAGAGAAUCUUAAGCAGGCUUCAUGCUCAGCACAGGGCCCGAGGCGGGGCUCAAUCCCACGACCCAGGGAUCACGAUCAGAGCCGAAAGCAAGAGUCAAAUGCUCAACCAACUGAGCCACCCAGACGCCCCUCAUUUUUAAUUCUAAGAUGUCAGUUAAUUUUUUGCCAAUCUGAUGGGUGAAGUGUAGAAUUUAUGUUAAUCUCCUGGCAUUUGUUAAAGAUCUAAUGUUUAGAUUUCUUGCUAUUUUUAAGUUGUAUUGUUGGACUUUUUUACAUAUGUGAUGUAUAUAACAAAGAGGUCUUAUCAAUUUUCUUUGUCUUUUAACUCUGUUCACUGUAUUUGAGGCUUUUUUUUUAACCUUGAUGUAAUCAUAUGUGGAAUUUUUUCACUUAUGAUUUAUGUUUCCUGUUAUGCUUAAGAAAUACUCUAUCCUGGGGCACCUGGGUGGCUCAGUCGGUUGGGCGGCCGACUAUAGCUCAUGUCAUGAUCUUGCAGUCUGUGAGUUCCAGCCCCGCAUCGGGCUCUGUGCUGACGGCUCAGAGCCUGGAGCCUGCUUCCGGUUCUGUGUCUCCCUCUCUCUCUGCCCCUCCCCUGCUUGUACUCUGUCUCUCUCUUUCUCUCUCUGAAAAAUAAUAAACAUUAAAAAAACUUUAAUUAAAGAAAAGUAAUACUCUAUCCCAAGGUUUACAUAUCUUAUACUUUUUCAAAUGCUUUUUUGACUUUGAGCGAGAGAGGGAGCGUGUGCGCGUGCACAUCCAAGCAGGGAUGGGAUGGAGGGAGAGAGAGGGAGAGAAUCAUAAGCAGGUUCUACACUCAGCACAGAGCCAAGCACGGGGCUUAGUCUCAUGACCAUGAGAUAAUGAGCUGAGCCAAAAUCAAGAGUCCGAUGCUUAACUGACUGAACCAUCCCAGCACCCCUGACUUUUUAAAAAUUUCUUUUAUUACACUUAUUUAUUUUUGAGAGGGUGAGAUAGAGCAGGAGUGGGGGAGGGGCAGAGAUAGAAAGAGAUACAGAAUCUGAAGCAGGCUCAGGUUCCGAACAAGCAUUCAACACAGAGCCCAUAGACCCAUAGACCCAUAGACCGUGAGAUCAUGACCUGAGCCAAAGUCAGACACUUAACCGACUGAGCUACCCAGGCACUCCCUGACUUUAUUUUUUUUAUACUUAGAUUUUUCUUCCAUUUGAAUUUUAUUUUUAAAUCAAUUAUUAAUUGAGCAUCUCCUUUGUGCUGGGCCCCGGGUUCUGUACUGAUGAGUAAAACUUGAUCCCUCAACUAGUGGAGCUUUAUCCUGGCAGAGGCAGGCGGUAAAUAGGUUACCAAACAAAUACAUAAUUUCCGUCUGUGCCCAGUGCUAUCAAGGAAACAGCGGGUCUAGGGUCGAGGGACACAAGCUUAAGCCAUGCUGAAUUACGAAGGGAUACAUAGAAGUUAGCUUUGCAGAGAGGGGGGCAGAAGAUAUAACCGGCAGGAUAUUCUAAGACCCCGAGGCAGAUUUGAGGAUUGGUAAGUGGAGAGUUGGAGUCCGGGAUGAGACCAGGGUUCAGAAGUAACGGCUUCUUCAUGUCUUGUUAAGGGGCCUUGGUUUUAAUCUAGGUGCAGUAGGAAGCUGUGGGGGGUUUAGGGAGAGAAUGUAUGAAGGACGAGUGUUUUAGUGUUGAUAGGGAAGGUAAGGAUGGACGCAGAGAAACCAGAUAGGCUACUCUAAUAGGCUGGGUAAGAGAUGAACGGCUUAGACUAGUGUGAUGGCUAAUUCUAUGUGUCACCUUGGCUGGGCUCUGAGGCCCAGAUAUGCGGUCAAACACUUAGAAUGAUGUUCCUUGAGGUGUUUUUGGAGGUUAACAUUUUAACACAUGAACUCUGAGUAACAGAUUGCCCUGUAUAAUGCUGAUGGGCCUCAUCUAAUCAAUUGAAGGUCUGAAUAGAACCAAAGACUGGCCUCCUUGAACAAGAGGGAGUUCUGCAGUAGCCAGGUAGACCGCAUUCACACUUGAACUGUAGCACUAGCUUUUCCCUGGUCUCCAGCUCGUAGGCUCAUGGCGCAGAUUUUGGAUUUGCUAGCCUCUAUAACAACAUGAGCCAAUUCCGUAAAACACAAAAACAAAAGCCAAAACUUUCUCCGUGUAUGUGCAUGCGCACGUGUACACCCCCCCCCCCCACACACACACACAACUGGUUCUGUUUCUCUGGACAGCCUUGACUAAUAACACCAGAAGUGGUGACAGUGAAAAUACAGAGAACUGAGCCUAUUUUUGAGGUGGAAAGAGUGGGACUCACUGAGAGGAAUAAAUUGUAAUUGAAUGGAUGGUGAGGUCAUUUGGGGAAUUGAAGGCCACAGAGAGGAGCCAAGGUAGGGGAAAUUCAAGAGUUUGGUAACUGUUUCAUUUGAGGUGCCACUGGGAUAUGAGUGGAAGGGUUAAGUAUACAAAUCGGAGAUACGAUUCUGAAACUCAGCAGUACAGACCGGGGCAGAAGAUGCAGAAGUGAGCACUAGAGAACCCCACCUUUAGAAAUACACUGACAGCGGGGCACCUGGAUGGCUCGGUCAGUUGAGCGUCUGACGUUGGCUCAGGUCAUGAUCUCACAGUUUGUGAGUUUGAGCCCUGUGUCGGGCUCUGUCCCUCAGAGCCCCUCUCCCACUUGCGCUCUGUCUCUCAAUCAAUCAAUAAAAAUAAAAACAUUAAAAACACAUAUAAAUACAUGGACAGGGAGUGACCAGAAACAUAGGAGAACCAAGAGCUUGGAAGAAUGUAGCUGAUGUCAGAUGCUGUUGCGUGGUACCAGAAGACGAAGGCUAAUUAGAGGUGACUGUUAGGCUUGACAGCUUGCUGGUUGGUGGUUAUUUGACUAAUGCAGAGUUGAUGGCGUAGUGGGAACAAAGUCAGGAGUGGAAUGGGCUGAGCAAAGUGGAGCUGAAGACGGGAAGAACGCACCUGUGCCAACCUUUGGAUGUGCAGCAACAGGGAACAGCAAAACCAGGGGAGGAGGAGUUGAGGAUUUGGAGCUCGGGGGUAUUUCACUCUUACUUUUUAACGAUGGAUGACAGGAAGGCAUGUUCAGAUUCUGAUGGAGAUGAUCCAGUAGUGUGGGAAGACUGAGGAUGAGGAGAAAGAAGGUGUAAAAUAGGAGAAACAGGUCCUUGGGCAGGUGUGUCUGUUAGGGGAAUGAGGAGCUCCCACGUAAUGGAUUUUGUUCUCCUAGAAAAGGGAAUUGGGAAGUAAGGAGAGUAUGUGAAGAAGGAGGUAGGAGGUAGUAGAGCGGGGAAGAAAGUUAACUCAGAAUAGCUAGGAUGGUGUUGAAAUCCCUCCUCGAGAGUUGAGACUGAUUUAAAGGGACGCUAGUAUGUUUUUCUGUUGUGAAUGUUUUGAUGCAGCUGUGGAGAAAGAAGAAAGAAGAAAAUUGGGUUAGAGUCUGACAAAUAGGACCAAGGGAAUGGUUUUUAUGGGAGUGAUAAAAGUGAUUGAUGAAAUUUCAGUUUGAUGAAAAGGAUACUGAUGGA